rnacentral:rRNA from 1 species
UACAGAGGUCUCAAGCGUUGUUCGGAUUCAUUGGGCGUAAAGGGUGCGUAGGCGGCUUGUCGCGUCGGCUGUGAAAACCCGUGGCUCAACCAUGUGGUCUGCAGUCGAUACGGGCAGGCUAGAAUUCGGUAGGGGAGACUGGAAUUCCUGGUGUAGCGGUGAAAUGCGCAGAUAUCAGGAGGAACACCGGUGGCGAAGGCGGGUCUCUGGGCCGAUAUUGACGCUGAGGAGCGAAAGCGUGGGGAGCGAACAGG